GGAUGUGAAGGUGAUCUGGCUAUGACAUCUGUCACCACAUUGAUCACCAGGGUUGAUUCAGCUGAUCUGGCUGGCUAGGCAGGUGUCCCCUUCCUCCAUCAAUAAUCCAUGUGUGUCCCUCCCGAAGCUGAGAGCUCAGUUAAAGAGGAUGACCACCCCCGAUAGAGGAGGACUAUCCCUUGGUCCAGGGUAUGCGAGUAGCUGCGCUCCCCUGCUAGAAUCUCCAAACAGGCUCUCUAGAAGCUGCUAGAGAAAAGAAACAGAUCAUAUUUAAAGGAAAACCAUCAGAAUAAUGGCAGAU
rnacentral:snRNA from 1 species